UGGGGAAUUUUGGACAAUGGGCGAAAGCCUGAUCCAGCAAUGCCGCGUGUGUGAAGAAGGCCUUCGGGUUGUAAAGCACUUUUGUCCGGAAAGAAAUGGCUCUGGUUAUUACCUGGGGUCGAUGCCGGUCCCGGAAGAAUAAGGACCGCCUAACUACUUGCCAGCAGCCGCGUGAAUACGUAGGGUCCAAGCGUUAGUCGGAAUUACUGGGCGUAAAGCGUGCGCAGGCGGUUGUGCAAGAGCGAUGUGAAAUCCCCGAGCUUAACUUGGGAAUUGCAUUGGUGACUGCACGGAUAGAGUGUGUGAGAGGGGGGUAGAAUUCCACGUGUAGAAGUGAAAUGCGUAGAGAUGUGGAGGAAUACCGAUGGCGAAGGCAGGGCCCUGGGAUAACACUGACGCUCAUGCACGAAAGCGUGGGGAGCAAACAGG
rnacentral:rRNA from 1 species